UCAUGAUCAGAUGCCAUCAGGAUGUG
rnacentral:piRNA from 1 species